rnacentral:lncRNA from 1 species
UGAUUAUGUUCUGGAAAAUUUGCGAAGAUAGUAGAAUUAUUUAGUGUUGAAAAGUGGCUACUUGGUUAGCAUACAGAUAAAUUUAACUUAUAGUUUCCUAAUUCAACUUUUUAAUAUAUGCCUGUAGUAUAAAUUUUGUUAAGCACAAAUAUAUAAAAUUUGUUCAAUUAUAUAGCGAACUUCAGUAUAUUGUAGUCCGCUAUAAAUUUUAUAAAUUUGUGAUUAACAAAAUCUGUAUUACAGGCGUAUUUUAAAAAGUCGAAUUAGUCAAUUAUAAGUUAAAAUGACCUGUACGUUAACGAAGUAGCUACAUUUCAACACUAAAUAAUUCUACUAUCUUCGCAAAUUUUUCAGAACAUAAUCAUGUUACCUCUAUGUAAGGACCGAGAUUUUGGCAGUGUAGCUAAACUCUCUGUUGACGAUGUUUUUGUGUAUAAUUUAAUUACAAAAGUACUCGUCAAGUUUCGGGAGAAAAUGAGUUAAAACGGAGAUUCUACGCGAUUUUCAAGUUUCACUUAAAGUGAAUAGUAACUUGGUUUUCCAGAGAGCUCAAUGCGUAGAGUUGGCUUCUGGCUCGUACCGGACUCCGUUCAUAGUAGUCCAAUAGCUCGUUUUGACCUGCUCAGCUAUUCUAGAACUGAUGGCGCUAACGGAUUUUGGGUUUGACGCACGAAUUUCGAGAAAAUCUGAAAAUACAUGUUUCUUAUGUAAUUGUGUGUCAUUUUGGCCUUUUGGAGAGAGAAUGGAUUUCGUUGCGAAUCCGUGACCGAUCGAGAUGAACCAAAAUUGUGACUUUAUUGUCUCCGUCGUGUUGAUCGCACUGGCAUGAUCCGUUCGCAAAUCUAACGGACGGAUCUGGGGAUAUUACGCGUUGUUCGAGGAGAGGUCGGUGAUGGCAAAACGACAAUUUUGCAAAAGUUGCGACAUUUUAUGUACCGUUCCGCAUGGAAUCGCAUGUGGAGGUGUGUUUGCGCAUUUUGCACGCGCUAUGAAGGACUCAAUAUUAAAUAUUGAGUUUGGAUGGGCUUUUCCGCGAUUUCAGCUUUGUAUAUAUAUAUAUAGCUCCUAGGGUUUUUGAUCCACCUAACCCUAACCCUAGCCCCCAGCUGCCCGAGCCGCACCCUGCCACCUCCAUCUCUCCCCCCUGCCCCUGCCGCACACCCCUGGCCGCCGCCGACUGAGCCCCGGCCGGCCAACCGCCGCCGCAGCCACCACUUCUCUCUUUCUCCAUCUCUUUCUCCUCUGGUUAGAGCUAGGCUGAGCUGCAUUGCCUCCAGCCUCUUCCCCAGCGUCUUCCGGACCCCCCGGCACCCUCCCCGCCGCCGCCGCAGCCUCGAACCGCGCCUUAGUGCUGCUGCUGCAACCUGCAACUUGCUGGGCCUAGCCUGGCCGAGGCAAGCCUGCAGCCUUUCCCGAGCACCGUUGCACUUGGAUCAGCCCCUGCUGACUUCUCGGACCCCCGGCGUCCCUCUCGCCCAGUCGCCCGUCGGCCUAGGGGCCGCUGCCACCUCGGCCAGCCGCAGCCGCCCCAGACCCGCUCGGCCCGAGGCAAGCUCGCGACUCCUUUCCUGCGCUGCCGCCGCUCGGGGCCACACCCGAGGCACCCCUCCGGCCUCCGGAAACCCUCCUUCGCCGUCCCGGAGCUCCACGGCCGCCGCCGUGGCCGCCAUUGCCCGUGGAACCCAAGCCUUAGCUGGUGCGGGCUCGGUUUGCUCCGCCGUCGCCGCUGCCGCUCUCCGCCACCAACCGAGGUGAGCACCAUACUCCUCAGCUCCCCCGCACCCAUCCCUGGCCCCCGCGCAUGCCGCCGGAAGCCGGUCGGAGCAAGCUUGCUCCGGCCAAGCCCGAAAUAGGGCUCAGUUGAGUGGGUUUAUUAUUUUGAGCUUCCCGAGGCCUCCCGAUCAAUACGGAAGGGAGCACGAUGAUCGUGACUCAUUGCUGAUCAUCGUGCUCACCUUGGUUUCUGUCGGGAAGGCCCAUUCCGGUGUUUAGGCGGUGUCGACCUUGUCGAGCCUUUUUGGCUACUGUUUUUGGAUUGCGUGCGUUGUUCUAGCAAUCCAAGGCUGUUCCGAUGCCUCCGGAGGUGAGCACGGUGAUCGUUGAUCAGUGCUGAUCACACCGCUCACCUUAUUUUGGAUCAGCGGAUGUCAUAUCGGCCUGUUCGGCGUGAUUUUCCCCAACUGCGUGCUGUUUGCAGAACCUUCGGGUUGCUCCCGCGCUUCCCACAGUGAGCUGUUGCGCUCCGGACCAUGAGCACGGCCUCCGGCACGUCGAGACCUGUCAGUACGUAUCUCGGCGGACCUUAGAAGUCCUCGGUUUGUGAGAACGAGCCAUAGAAGUCGCCCGAUUUACAUAAAAUGAUGGAUUUUAUGUAAACAUAGGGACUUUUAUGCAUUUGUACACCUUGUGGCUACUGUGGGCAGUGCGUUGGUGUGUGUGGUGACCUUCGGACUGAUUGUCCAUGAUCCGAUAGCCUUCGCGGAAAUCGAGAAGUCGAUUUUGGUGCGUUUUUCGGCGAAAUUCGCCGAAAGAAUGCGGUUUCAGUUCGGAUUUCUUCCGACGUGGUUUGUUUAUCCUGUGAAUUGUCACUGAGCCUUAUUGGCUGGUCACCAUCAUCAUUUUGUGGGUUCGGUGAUGAUGGGUGAGCGACGGUAGGUUCCGGUGUCGAAAUAGGCUCUUCCGGGAACCCGUAUUCGUACAAUUAUCUGACGAUAAUUGUAUAGUGAUGUUAUCUUGUGUUCGCUGCCAAGACAUCCAAACAGGAGUGUUUUGUGGCAGCGGGUGACUCGUGAAACGAGUCGGUGAGUUUUAGGACACUUAGUGGGUCCCGACGGCGUCCCGACGUGGUUUUCGGGACUUCCGUUGAGUUACGGUGAUCGGUUUUGGAAAACCGAUUCGGGGACUUGUGUGGGGGUUUGUGAGUUGUGUACUUCAGGUUAGCGGGUUGGAUACUGACUUAGUGGAUCUUCUUAGGUCCGGUAGACUCCGUGCGCACUCAGUGUUCCGACGCGACAGUGACAGGUAGGUGUUUCGAGCUGGUAGUCGGUGAGAUCGUCUCACCUUCCUUUGUUCUUUCAUUCAGUAUCGUAGUCUCUACAUGUCUGUUGUUUGUUUAUCGUUCGUUCAUCUACAUCUCUUUGAUUGUAUUAUGUUAGUUGUGGAUAGACAUGUAGAGUAGGCUUGCAUAUAUACUGUAUAUCUGUGGACCUUGGGUCCAGGCAACACAUCGACUCCUUUGUCGUGUGUUUCGAUCUAGUUGAUCGUGGUUCGGCGUUGUACGCCUUUGAACUUUGCUUCGGCCAUGGCACCGGUCUCUUUUUGCCGGUUUUCCUUUUGAGCAUAUCAACAUGAUUUAGUCACAGCACUGUGUAUUCUAGACACUAGGUUGGUUUGGCCACCAACCAAGGGGUGUACGUAUUUGGAUAGGUCGUCGGUGACGCAUUAAUACGUUGACAGUGUCUGCUCUGUGACAGGCAACGCUUGAGGUCUGUGGACCAAUAUAGCAGCAUCAGAUUGGAUUUGAUUUCGAACUAUUUACCCUUGAGGCAUCCGUUUAGUUGAGUUUUCAUUACAGUAGUAGUUUCAUUCUUGCUCAGUUAUUAUCCUGUUUCUAUUACUACUGUAGUUGCUCUUAUAUCAUAUCAUGUUCAUAUCUGUUGUUCUAUCUCCUUUGGUUUCCGGUGAUUACGCCUUGCCUUCGUGGCUCUGUCGUACCCACUGAAAAACCAUGGUUGCGGUUUCUCACCCUCCAUUCCCCCCAGGUGACAUGGACAAGGAGGUGGUAUUUGGGCUAGAUGGGAGGACGAUCUAGCUAGUCGGCAAUAGCGACCGUCACCCUAGUUAUAUUUCUUCCCGCAUUUAGUAGUUGUUAAUAAUAAAUGGUUCAGUUAGAUGUUUGAAUGUUUGUGAUUUUUGUUAUGCAUGAUUAGAGAUUUUGUGGAUCACUGGUUUUGAUUUUAUGGAUAUUCAGUUCUCGGAUUUGUGUAUUUAUACAUAUUUACGCAUCGUGGUUUUCUACCCCUCGAGGUAGUUGAUUUUCAAAAUAGAGUUUUCGUGUGGGAAACAGUUUUAAAAAGAUUUUCAAAUGAUUUUCAUGAAUGAAUGAAUUCGAGUUUAAAAAUAAAAACAUCCGUGUCGGGAGCACUUUUAAGUAGGAUGUUUGUUGUAUUGUGCAUUGCAUCAUCCAGCGCCUAAAGAGUGCUUAGAGGCAUGCAUCAUCUCUAAGGAACGUUAGCUGUAUGGAAAUGCAUAUCAUGAAUUAGUUGGUUGUUGAUUGGUAAAUGUAGGUUGUGGUUGAGAUCCUGUUGUAUAGUUGGUACGCCGUGCAAAUACAAAGCAGAUUCUGUCCGAGUUGACAGAGAAACUUUAUAUUUGUGGCGGAUCUGUACGUCACGUGGGCCAGGUUGAAAAAAAAAAAAAGCAUGUCUUCCGUAACUCUGUUUCAAAAUGGUAAUGAAUUUUAAAAAGGCUUUUAAAAUCGGCCCCGGGGCGUGACACUCUAGUUUGGCAGCAAGCACUGGUAUAAAAAAAAAAGGUAAAUUCAAUUUGCAGCAAAGAUUGCUUUGAGAGGAAAGCAAGUCAAACGCAUAAUCUUCGUUGUGUGAUCAUUAUAAGCAUUUGCAUAAAACACUUAUAAAAAAUAUUUGUGUGUGGUUGGUGGGCGAUUUAUUAAAAACUAUGCUUCCCUUGGCAAUUCUACGCUUGAUAAUCUGAUUAGACUAAAGAUAUAUAUUGCCUUUGAAGCUUAGUAUUUUGCGGUAUUAAGAUAUUAUUUUAUAAAAUACUACUCAUUAAACAUUUAAAAUAAAAAUACAGAAUAAAAUUUACAUAUUCUGAAUUAGUACGAGUUGUACUACAAAGUCGUAUUUUAUACAUUUUAUUAUAAAAUCUGAUUUGAAUUUUCACAAUUAACCAAUUUUAUAAUUAGAUAAAUUUAUCUGUAAAUUUAAGUAUUAAAAAAAGUGAUGACUUCUUCCCAUAUUUUAUUAUAGAAUAAAAUAAUCUGUAUAUUUUCAGGCUUUACCAAUUUUAUAUUUAAAUUAACCCAUUUAAUAAUUAGAUAAUUUAUCCAUAACUUUAAGUAUCAAAAAAAUGUUAUAAUUUCUGCGCAUAUUUUAUUAUAGUAUAAUUUGUUUAUUUUAAGACUUAACAAAUUUUAUAUCUAGAUUACGUAUUCACAAUUUCCAACACUAAAUAAUUCUAUUAGCUCUGUUAAAUUAAUUUGUAUAUUUUCAAACUUAACCAAUUUAUAUUUAGAUUAUGUAUUUAGAAUUUCCAACACUAAAUAAUUUUAUUAGGUCGGUUACAUUUUCCAGCACUAAAUAAUUGCGUCAUUACUGUUUUGCCAGCAAGUAGGCGUAUCUGUUAUUUAAAUUACGUAUUUACAAUUUCCAACACUAAAUAAUUCUAUUAGCUCUGUUAAAUUAAUUUGUUUAUUUUCAAACUUAACCAAUUUUAUAUUUAGAUUAUGUUUUCAGAAUUUCCAACACUAAAUAAUUCUACUAGCUCGGUUAAAUUUUCCAGCACUAAAUAAUUGCGUCAUUACUGCUUUGCCAGCAAGAAAGCGUAUCUGUUAUGAGCUGUAUAAUUCUCGAGCAGCUUGUUUUCCGUAACAAACCCUACCACGAUGGCUGCUAUUAACCAGACAAUGUUGUUUUCAGCUGUAUAAUUCUCGGAUGGUUCUUUUCUCAUCAACUUAGGUCGAUGACUGCUAUUAACGAGACAAUGUUGUUUUUAGCUGUAUAAUUCUCGGAUGGUUCUUUUUGUUAGAUGUAUGCCCUAGAAGCCAACCAGGCUGACACAUGUAUUCUUUCUAGGACAUAAAUUUGUAUUUGACUUUAAAAUAUUAUGAAUAAAUUUGGGUUAUUAUUUUCAUUCAUGUUAUGUAUGUGUCCAUGAAUCGUCCAAGGAAUUAAUAAGAUGAUGACAUAUAUUCUCAAGAGUUGAGAAUUUGAGACAUGUGUCAUUGGUGGUUAAUUCCUAAAUGCUCCUGAUCAAUGGAUCAUCACGGGGACGGUGAUUGAUCCGGUGAGAUUGGUGCAUAGGUCGCUUCCCUUUUGGGUAGACGAGUCUCGAGUCGACAGUGUGGGGACACUGAAGCGAAUAUGCAGGUGGUUGUUAGAGAACAAGGGUACCGAGCGUGACCAACGCGAGAAGUCACUUGGAUGUCUACUCACUCGUCAGUGACUUACUCAAUUGUUGCAGUAGUGUGACUGGUCCUUUGACCUGCGGUGCCUCGGCUAUUCACAAUGAGGUUACUGUAGUUUGACUGUACAUACACUUGGUCCCUAGCCAUUCGGGUCCUUGCGGUGCAUGUUGGCUGCAGUAGGUUCAUUGUAGGAAUAGGGUGCGCACUUAGAUGGAAUCUAUCUCCCUUGGUAGAUAGGGGUGUUAGUCCUAUGUGAUUUAUGAGACCGAGUUUAGAAGACCUUGGCCAGGGCAGAAUAAAUAGCGGAAAAGGGUUUCCGAUAUUAGAAACUCGAGUCGAAUAAAUUUAACAUAUGACAGACGAUGGGGUUUGACGAGUUAUUCCAUAACCUCCGUCUAGUCGGGACUCAUGAUAGAAGGAUUGUAUCACACGGUAACUGCACCUAGAGGUUCACUAUUCUAUUCUACUGGAAUGCCACUAUAUGCUGCUAGGCGUCACUGGUGGAUUGUGAGACUCAUGAGAAUUAUCUAGAUGAUCGAUAAUUCUCAUUGGGCUGAGUUGGAAUUGUCCUAAUCCAUUGAAAGGAGUUUCAGUGAUAUUGUUGAUAGUGAUCAAAAUAUAUCUCACUACCAGAUAGAAUAGAACCUAUGGGGUCACACACAUAAGAGGUUGUGAUUGAUCGAAUAGCUAGAUCGCGAUUAUUGAAUCGUCGGAAGACCUAAUUGUCAAUAUAAUGAUAAUUGGACUAAUUUGUAAUUGUUACAAAUUAGUGGUAUUAAGGUGUAAAUGUUACAAGAGAGGACUUACUAAUAGUUAGUAAAUUAAAAGAGGACUUAUGUGCAAAUGUUGCAUUAUUAAUUUGAUAAGAUCAAAUUAAUAUAAAAUUCAAGUCGAAUCAAAUUAGGAUUUGAUCGAUCUAACUAAUUAAGGAAAAGAUAAAUUUAAAUCUAGAUUUAUACUUAUCCUUAAUUGUCAUUAUAUUAUUAGGAAUAGGAUUAUAUUCCUAUAUAUAAUAUACGGGAGUUUUUAGAAAACCCUAGCCGUCAUCUAUCCUCUCUUUUCUCUUCCAUCUUCUAGCAAGAAAGAUGUCAUUUUGCAAGGGAGCUAGCACCCCGGUGAGGACAUCGAUCAAAUCAAGAACCUCGUGUGGAUAUGUGACGCACUGGACCUUUGCAAAUUGCAAGGUUCGAGUGUUUGGACGUAUUUCGAGCUUUUCCACACUUGGUGGAGGGUUGUAGAAUGUUUUCCGACCUAAAAAGUUCGAAAAUCGGAAUUCUGAAUAAGUCCUGAGAGUUUUUACUCUCGGGGACCGAUCCCUGGAAGGAGAGACCGGUCCCCCAGUGAGCAGUGUUGAGGCAGCCUGAGGCAACCGGUCCCUGGCAGGCGAGACCGGUCCCCGAGCGCGUCUUCGCAGUGAGAGACCGGUCCUGCGCGGGGAGAGACCGGUUCCCGAACGCUGGUUUUUCGGGUUCGCAGCGAGAGACCGGUCCCUGCUGGGGAGAGACCGGUCCCUCUGGGCGAAAACUGCCCAGACCGGGCUGUGGUAAUAUUGGAUUUUUGAGGGGCCGGCUGGAUUUUGUUACAUUAGAGGGUCUAUAUGACCCCUCCACCCUCUCUUCUCCUCAUUUCUCCUCUCUCAACCCUCUCUACACCCUUGAUAGAGAAGAAGAAGGAGAAGGAGAAGAAGGAGGGAAGGGGAAGAAGUUUGGAGCUACUAGUGGACUUGGAGCCUUCCUCACCCUCUCAUCUUCCUUGGUGCUUGAAGGCUUGGACUUGGAGCUUGCAAAGGGGGAGAUCUUCACCUUUGGAGCUUGGAUUGGAGCUUCUAAGGAGGUUUGUUGCUCAAACCCUCCCUCUAGACCUUAUUUUGAGGAUUUUUAGUAGAUGGAACCCUAGAAAUGAGACUUAGGGUUUAUUUUGGGCUUUUUGAACCUAGGGCUUUUGAGGCUUGAUUGAUUGGUUUAGAACCUUCCUUGAGCUUGGAUUGGAAGGGUUCUAGCUCUCUUUUGGAGCUUUGGAAGAGAUUUCUACUCUUGAGGUUAGUUUUGGCCAUUUUUGCCUCUAGGUUAAUGUUUGAUAUUAUAAGAUGGUCGUAAUGCCCUCGUAUCUCUUCGCUGAUUACUUUUAGGGUAUUUUGAGACUCGGGGACAACUUUGUUCGGCGAAUCGAGACCCUACGCGACGGUUCGGUGGGUUUGACCUAGCCACACAAUGAGAAAUUCUCAUUUGUGCUUAAUUAAGUAUCGUUAAAUGAAAAAGCAUGCAUAUUCUUGUUACAUAUAUUUAUUGUGAAUUUUAGAAUGCUUAAAAUGCCCAUGUCAUAUGUAAUGAAAUUUUGGACCUCUAUGUAGUAGAGAGUUGCUUGAGAGAGAGUUGGUUGCAUUUAGCAUUCUAUACGAGAUUUGGUUUCAUGUUUCUAUAAUGUAAAUGAGUUCGAAUUCAUAGCUUUAAACUUAAGUUUACUUGCGACAUGAAAGAUGAUGAAAUGCCAUAUAGAGGUAUUGAGCUAGAAUGUAUGUGAAUUAGCGAGUAAUGUCAUCAGCGGCAUUGAGCGGGGACAUUGUGUGAACCUAUAGUGGAUAGGCCGUUGAGGGAUUUGGGGUACAUGUUGGACAUCAAAUUGCCUAAGUGUCAUCAAGGGGCACUAGGCGUACAAAAGCUGAAAAUUCACAUUAUGCCUUAAACUAGAUCUUCGGGAUGCUAGUGACUAUAUCAUGUUAGAAAACAUGAGGAUUGGAUACUUGAGACUUGGACUUUGCUUGCUUGCCAUUUGUGCUCAUUCGCACAUGCUUGUGAGGUGCGCUCCCUACAAGCCGGCACUCCGGAGUUAGCCUACGCGACUUUUGUUCGCUCAUGCGGUUAUCGAGAAGCCUACGGGUCGAGUGGGACAGACACAUUCCAUGUGUAGGAAUGUCGGGCUACCACAGGCACUUAGGCGGCACACAGCGGACUACCUUGGGUAGGUCCCUAAUUGGAAAUGGAAAUCGACACGGUUUGAAGAAUGAACAAUCACUACUAGAUAGGUUUAGUAGUUGGGUUACAUUUGCAUGCAUAUAGCAUAGGUUGAGACAUGUAGUAUACUUGACAGUUACCUACUUCAUCACAGUAUACUUGGCCCCCAUGAUAGAGCUUAUACAUCAUGUAUGAAUAAAGAGUUGUGACAGUAAACUAUUGCCAUUGGUCACUUUUUCCUUAUGAUAGAAUAGAUACCACAUUUUGACAUCGUGCUUAUGUGAGAUAUUGUAGUAUAGCAUUUUACUUUGCUCUCUCUUUCAGCAGUUUAUUACAUGUCCUUUUUAUGCCUAUUGCUAUUAGCAUUACUUACCCUUGUUUUGGGGCCUAGUGGAGCAGGAGUUGAGGUCAGUAAUUGCCCACUGGAACUAUAAAUUAUAGUUCUCUAUGCCUCUUUUUCUCGAUGUUUUUCAGAGCCUUCCACUCAGGGUGAGGCCAGACCGUGGGAAGGGAGUUGCUACGAGCUAGCUUUCUUCGAGGACGAUUGCUAGGUGGUCCACCUCUCGUUGUAUUUUAUUUUGGAGAGGUUGAGAAGUUUACCGAGUGUACUAAGAGACCACCAUUUUUGUAUGAGAGCUGUAAAUAUGACUUGUGUUUACUUUUAUGUUUUAGUUACGUUCUAUUACUAUUGGUGUAGAUGUUAGAAUUUACUGCGCUCUGAUAUCAUUAGUUGCUAGUUAUUUCACUUCUUUUAUUUGUUCCAUCUCUUGCUUUUACUUCCGCUUUUCUUGUAGACGGCUUAUAUGUGUAGACAAUAUGGGCGGUCUGGGCACGCUACCGGGAGGGCCUCCGCCGGUCCCGGGGCGUGACAGGAUACCUAUAGAGGCCGGACGCGUGUGCGGCUUCAAGAGAACCGAAUUCCACGAUCAUCAAAUUGAGGUGAAGAUUUAUCCGCGAAUAAGGUAAAGACUGGAUCUUACUUUUCUCCUUUAAUCUUAAAAAACAUGAGGGAUCCUAAUUGCGUGGUUUUUGAGAUUUGAUCUUGAUAGUUUUCAAAAAUCAAAUUUGUUUGAUUUCUUUUUCCGUUGCGUUUUUACCGUACGCAAUUUUCUAACACUUUUCUCAUCAGCUUAGGUUGCUCUAGAGUUCUAGUGUAAGGACUGAGAUUUUGGCAGUGUAACUAAACUCUCUGUUGACAAUGUUUCUGUGUGUAAUUUAAUUACAUAAGCACUCGUCAAGUUUCAGGAGAAAAUGAGCUAGAAUGGAGAAGUUACGCGAUCAGGACCGAUGACUUAAAGUGAAUACUAACUCCGACUUUUCGGAUGAGCCAGUGAGUAGAGAGUGGUUCUAGUGCGAAUUGGACUCCGAACAUAGGACUCCAAUAGCUCGUUUUCAAUGGCUUGACUAUUCUGGACCCAAUGGCACUGACGGAAUUGGGUUCUGAUGCACGGUUGUCGAGAAAAAGGGGUUUGAUCGGUUUUACAUAUAUAAAUAUGUGGUUUUAUGGUGGAAACAAUGAGGGUGGGUUUCGUCGUGAAUCGGAGAUCAAAUUGGACAAAACGAUAUGCUAGAUUCGAUGCCCCCGACGUGCUGAACGCGCUGGUGCAAUCCGUUCGGAAAUCCAAUGGACGAAUCUUCGAAAAUAGCGAGAUACUUGCUAAGGGGUCGAAAAUCGGCAAAAUCUGAAAAUUCAAAAAAAAACCUAAUAUUUUAUGCGCCGUUUUGUGCAAUUUCAAAUAUAGAGGGGCUUGUAUGCAUAAUACAUGUAUGGGCAAGGACUGAGUUGAAAGGAAUGAACAGGGGCGCACUAAAUUGCAAAAUUGUCAAUUUGUAUAAAGUUAAAGAGCUAGGGUUUUCAUGGGAAACCCUAACCCUAAACCAUCUCAAGCUAACCCCAGCCUCCUAGCCGCCUCAGCUCCUCCCUGCCCACCUCGUGUGCAUGCCCCGGCCGCCGGCAGGCUGCUCCGGUUGCCGGAAAAGCCUCCCCGGCUUCCCUCUCCACUCUCUUUCCCUCCACAUUGCUUUCUCCUUGGCCGUGGAACCCUGAGUAGGCUAGGAAACUUCUAAACCCCUUGGAGCAGUCAUCCUCUGGCCGAGGCCCAUCCCCGGCGCCGUCCUCCGCCGGCCUCCGCCGUCCCCGCGCACUGCCAUCACUGCCUGGCCGUUCUAUGACCGAGCUGGGCCAGCACGGGCUCAGCCCAGGCUAGUUUGCUUCUCGUGCGCCGCCGCCGCCGCCAGGGACCACAUCGGCGACCUUCCUCGUGACCGCCGGCACCUCCGCGUCCGGCCAGAAUGGCCGCCGGCACCUGCACGCGCCGCCGGUGCCGCCUGAGCUAGCCGUGGCCAGGUUGGGUCAGCCCAGACCGAGCGGGCUUGGGCUCGAGGGCCGCUCGCAGCCAUCGCUCCCUGCCGGCCACGCCGCUCUCUAGGUACCUCCGACGACCCCCGGCGUGCAUCCCCGGACGCCCCGAAGCCGCUGGCCGCCGCCGGAGCUCUCUGCAGCUAUCCUGAGCACGUGCGGGCCAAGCUUGGACCCGCACCGCCUCCGUACGCUGCCGCCGCCCAGCGUCGUGCGUGCCACCUCCCCCUCGGCCUCCGGCAACGGGUCAUCGCUGUCCCGUGAUCCUCUGGCUGCCGCCUACCCGCCGGCACCCUUGAACCCGAGAGUAGCCUUGUGGAGUUGAUCUCCUCCACCGCGCCACCGGUUGCCUCCCGUCGCCGGCCAGCAGGUGCCCCGGACCCCACCGACCGGCCGCACUCUCCCCUGGCCGGACCGCCCGCCGUCCGGCCGUCGGCGACCAACCCUAGCUCCAUCGGGUCUGGUAAGCUGCAGAUUAAAUUCCAGCACUUAAUUCUGAGAUUCCGAUCACUUUUUCGGUGAUUUGAUAAGCCUCCUAGACCUCGGGAAGUGAGCACGAUGAUCUACAACUCGUGCUGAACAUCGUGCUCACCCCCGUUACGGGCAGAGAUGCCCUAGUUAGCAAGAUUAAUGCAAUUUUAGCGUUGUGCGUGCUGUUCCGCUGAUCUUCGCACCACUCGCGCGCGUGCCACAGUGGCCGGUAGUGCUCCGAAGUGUGAGCACGGACUCCGGCACAUAGAGACCUAGCAGCGGGUGUCUUGGCUAGGCUGAAUAACCCUCGGUUUUCGCUAGUGUGCCAUAAUAGCCCCAAAAUCACAUAAAAUCAUGUGAUUUUGGGUAAUUGGGAGGGCUUUUAUGCUAUUGUGAUGGUUGUGGUCGCUGUUGGCAGCGUGUGCUGGCCAUGGGUAACCUAUGGACUGAUCUUCCAAGGCCCCGGCCUUUGCGGAAAUCAAAUAUUGAUUUCCGAAGCGUUUCCCGGCGAAAUCCGCCGACGGAACGCAGGUUCGGUUCGGAAUUAUUCCGACGGUGCUUCGUGAGCUAUUGUGUAGUCGAUGAGCCUUGUUGGCUGGUCACUUCCGUCAUUUCGAGAUUUCAGAAAUGACGGGUGAGCGACGGUGGGUUCCGAUGUCGAAAUUAACACUUUCGGGAACCCGAAUCGAAACGAUUAUCCGACGAUAAUUGUUUCGACACGAGGAGUUGUGUUCGCUGCCAUGAUGCACGAUUAAUUAUGUUUAGUCGCAGCGGGUGACUCGUAGCAUGAGUCGGUGUCUUCCGGGAUAGUUCGUGGGUCCCGGCGGAGUCCCGGUGCGAUUUUCAGGACUUCCGGCGAGUUAAGGUAAUUGGUUUUGGGAAACCGAUCUCCGUGGGAUUGUUUGUGGAGUUGUGAUACUAUGGUUAUUAGUUGUGGGUUAGACACUAACCCGGUGGACCUUCCUUAGGUCCAGUUGACGUUCUUUUGCAGUCGGGAGACAGGUGCAAUAUCCUUACAGGUGGGUACUUCGAUCCGAAGUCGGUACAGUGGUGCACGCACGGUGAUGGUUUCUUACCCUUACUCUUCUGUUGUUACUAUUGCAUAGUAUCUAUUGAGCCUUGCACCCAUGUUAUUCCAUUAUACUCUACUUGUUGUUUGCAUGCUUAGUAUCCUGAGUAGGAGUAGAGUAGUUCUAUCUAUGUGCGUAUCUGUUGACUUGGUUGGUCGAUUCUUGUGCUUCAUAUCAGUGACCUUGUCGAUUCUUGUACUUCAUAUCAGUGAUGUCACGCCCCGCUCCGAAACCACUACCAAUUUGGCACGAUUCGGGCGCGCCGAGCGGACCGCCGAACGGACAGCACCUCCCCUGUCCGCCCAAGGCUCAAAACAAGAAUGUGUACAAGAAUUUCUCAGGAAUUUAAAUUCUAAACAUACACAUUCAACGGGGCACAAAUAGUGCCAGCAGCUACGAGAGCAAGUAAUCCACAGAAACAACAUGUGAAAUAAAGAGAGUACCUUACUAACUAUUACAAUAGUUUUGCAUCUUUUUCAUUUACAUCAUUUUCUUUAAAUGAUUACAUCAUUCAUCCAAAAUACAUAGCUCUCCAAAUCCUCACCUAUAAUAAAUCUCUCAAAUACAUAGGUGUACUAAUGCAAAAAGGAAAGCUACUAUACUACCACGGUCUCACUGAUCGGGCGCGAUGCCCUUGCCGCGGUCCUCUCUCGACAGCCCUGAACCUACCGCUAGAAAUAGAGUGGGGUGAGAACUAUCUUCCAUAGUUCCCAGUGGGCUCGGCCGCCGACUUUGCCGAUCUCCCUACUAGGUCCAAGUGGGCACAAGCAACAACAGGUAGAUAGAUAGAUAGAUAUCUCAAAGCAGUAAAUGCAACAGUAGGAAAACUAUGCUACUAUACCCAUAAUCAUGAAUAUGAAUGCAUGCAUCAUAUAAUAAAGGUUUGCUACCAUGCUAACAAAUUCGAUCCAUGUUCGAAUAGCAAUGUUCAAUGACAUUAUUAAACCUUUAAUUUUUCAUUUACCCAAUCUAUGGCGAGGCCCUAGGGCUCGCCUAUAACUCACCUUUCAAUCCCAAAGUGGGGAGGGAGCUCCAAGUGCACCCAAGUCCGGGACCGUCUGCGGACCUCCAUGUGGUCCGGACCUCCAAGUGGUCCGGACCUCCAAGUGGUCCUAGUCGCACGACACUCCGGAGUACUCGACGACAAUCCCCUCCAUGUGGGGAUAUGGAUGGCUAUACCAUCCCAAAAGCAGACUGUGAGCUAGAUCUAUCCUCUCCAAGUGAGGAUACACUACAACUAGGGUCAACAACCCAAUCAAGUCUUCUCCAAGUGAGGAUGCUCUACAACUAGAGUCAACAAUCCAAUCCAAUCCUCUCCAAGUGAUGAUGCACUACAACUAGGGUUAACAACCCAAUCCAAUCCUCUCCAAGUGAGGAUGCACUACAACUAGGGUUAACAACCCAAUCCAAUCCUCUCCAAGUGAGGGUACUUAGAUUUACUAAGUUCUUUAUCCACAAGGCAUUUUCUAAGGGAUCCAUCUAUCCCUAGAACCUCUAGUGUCACUUACGCUACAUUAAUGCCAUUUGUUAUUCUUUAACAUCUGGAUGCCACUCGUUUGUUCUUUAACAUUAAACACUACUUUCUAUGUCACCAACCUCCAUCGGGUUCAUUUCUUUUCUUUCGCAUCAUAGGAUCCACGUUCUGACCCAAUCCUCACCUAUUUAAGUUACGAAGCGUUCCAAGUACACUAAGUUAUCAAUUAGAAAGCAUAAGGAAUGGAGCUACUAUGCAAUCCUACAAUGCAGCAUGUAAGAGAUGAGAUUAAAUGCAAUCUAAGACAUAGAAAGGAGUUCGAAAGCUUCGGGAUGGCACCCCCCACCUUUUAUCGACGUAGAGGCUUUAGAAACGCUCCUCGGCGCACCUUACGAUGAGGUCUCGGCCUUCUUGGUCCAAGACAAGGCUAAAUCGGCCGUAUUUCGCCGAUAACUCCCAAUCCACUCGACGAAUCGCGAAAUCGACUUCACCCCCGCGGUUUGUGACCUACCAAUUAGGUUUACAAGGCCUCAAAUAAGAUCAAUCUCAUACUUUACCAAAAACCCCAUUUUGGGUGCCCUAGGUUUGCACCUAUAGCAAACCACUCAAUCAAAGCCCUAAAUUCUAGCAUUGAUCUAUUUAGAAGCAUGCUAGAGGUCCAAUUGACCCAUUCCAAAGCUCAAAACCCAAAAACCCUAAGUUUUACAAACUAGGGUUUGUAGCUUACCUCUUGAGCUACACCAAUGGGAAGAGGAGAGGGAGAGGGAGAUGUUUAAAGCCUUCUCCUUGAUCUCCUUCUUCUUCUUCUUCCUUUUCUUCUUCUCUUUUUCCUUCCUCUCCUUCUUGUUCUUCUCCUCUUUUCCUUUCGAGAGAGAGAGAGGGAGAGAAAAUAUGAGAGGGAGAGAGUGUGAGUGAGGGUGAGAGAGGAAGAGGGCUCAGCCCCUCUUAUUGUAGCACACUGGACCUUUGCAAAUUGCGAGGUUUGAGUGUUUGAUGUGUACUCCGAACUUUUCCACACUUGGUGGAAGGCCGUAGAUGGUAUUCCGGCCUAAAAGUUCGAUCUCUAGAGUUUUGACUUAGUCCUGAGAGUUUUCACUCUAGGGGACCGGUCCCUGAGAUGAGAGACCGGUCCCCUCAGGGCAGUGCUACAGCAGGACUUGAGGCAACCGGUCCCUGGCUGGAAGAGACCGGUUCCCGAGCGCGUGUUUUGCGAGAAGGGUCCGAGAGACCGGUCCCUGGCGGGGAGAGACCGGUUCCCGAAUGUUGGUUUUGCGGGACGAACUGAGAGACCGGUCCCAGGUGUCGGGGAGACCGGUCCCUCAGCGCGAAAACAGCCCAGACCGGGCAGUGCACAGAGUGGAUUUUUGGGGGGCUUAUCAGGAUUUUGUUACUUUAGAGGCUAUAGAGAGCCUUUCUCCUCUCUCUUUUCCUCAUUUCUCUCAACCCUUUUGCACUCUAGAGAGAGAAGAAGAAGGAGAGGAAGGAGAAGAAAAAGAAGGGGAGAAGGGAGAUCAAGCUUGGAGGCCUUGAAGCAUCAGCCCUUCUCUCUUCUCACCCUUUGGAGGUUUGGAGCUUGCUUUUGGAGCUUGGUGGUGGACCAAUCUUCAACCUAAGAGGAUUUUGGACUUGGUUUGGAGCUUCCAAGAGGUAUGUGACUAGUUCUUCUCCUCUAGUUCCUAGUUUUGGAGCUUUUUGCUUGAUGAAACCCUAGAUUGGGAUUCUAGGGUUAGAUUUGGGGCUUUUUGGAUUUGAGGGCUUUGAAACCUAAUUGAUGGGUUUGGAACCUUUAAUUAGGUUGGAUUUGAAGAACUCUAGCUUCCAUUUGGAGCUUGAGAGAGGAUUUCUUCACUUAGGUGAGUUUUUCUCCACCUUAGCCUAUGUUGCUUAUUGAUUGAGCUUAGGGUUGAUCGUAAGAUUUGUUUGACCCUUGUUCCUACAUCUUUAGGGUGCUAGGAGACUAGUCGAUACCUUCGUCGGGGCUUACGAAGGGUUUUGGCAUCAUCGAUGGGUUUGGCUUCAUGAACACGGGGCAAAAUGGCCCUACGUUUUCUAUACUUGUCGUAAAGUAUUUUUGAAUGCAAAUCCAUGUUAAACAUGAUUUAUGUGAAUUUUAGAACACUCGAAAUGCAUGCUUUAUGUAUCAUAAAAUUUUGCACUCUAUAUAGUAGAGCUAUAUGUGUAAACUGCAUGCAUUGUGAAAGGUAGUUAGCCUUGUAAGUUGAAAACAUGUCUCCUAUGUUUGAAAUGAGUAGAAUUAUGUAUUCAUGAACAUAGUUACCAUGCUUGGACUCAUUGAACAAUAGUGUCAUAAAGAGGCACUUGAAACUAGUAAACUAUGAAAAUGCAACAUAGAGACAUGUAAUAAGCCAUUGGACAUUGACUAUAUUCCAUGUUAGAGACAUGUCGACAUAGUGAUAGGCCUUCGUGACAUUCGAUAUAUUCCAUGUUUUAGACAUGAGGACUGGCUAUUUGAGACAGACUUAUACGCAUGCUUGCCAUUGUGCUCAUUCGCACAUGCUUGUGAGGGUCGCUCCCUACAAGCCGGCACUCCGGAGUUGGCCAUUGCGAUACGUUCGCCGUGUGGGAUUGGGCGCCGAAGUGGAUUGCCGUGGGAAAGGCUCAUCCCUAGGGUGGGGAUGUUGACUACCACGGGGCCAUUAGGCACGGUAAAGCCAGACAGCCUUCGGGUGGGUCUUAUGCCAGACAGCCUUCGGGUGGGUCUUAUCAGAGUUGAACUUUAAACAGUAAAGUGACAAGUGGACAUUGACUAGAAUAGUGAACAUUGACAUUAUUGCUAUUCACAUUGUAGAUAUUGGGAUAGUUGCAUACUCAUGCAUUUACAUAUUGGUUACUCUUAAGUACAUACCUGUGGUAGUCGCUUUAUUACUUAUGCAAAUCAUGCUAAGUAGAGAUAUCAUGGUUGAGCAGUAUUUAUCUUUACUUACCCGUUGUAUUUAUUGCUUUUGCUUAUGCACGAACCCCUUUUUGUAGUUUUGGGCCUAGUGGCGCAUUUCACUGAAGUCAGUAAUUGCCCACUUGGAACUAUUAUUCAAUAGUUCUCACGUCCCUGUUUCUAUGUUUCCUUUUCAGAGCCUUCGGCACCGGCGGAGGCACGGGAUCGCGGCAAGGGUGUCGCGUAGCUAGCUCAGAGAGUACGUUUUGCUAUCGGUGGUUACUCCUUCUUUUGUUUGUGUUAGAGAGAGGGAGAGAUUUUUGCACAAUGUGUAGAGAGACCACCUUGUAUUCAGAUUAAUACUUGUUAUGGGACUCCUUUUGUAUUAUCUUAUGUUUACUUAGUGGAUUAUCAGUUUUAUGUUUUUCUCCUUAUUGUAGCACUUUGUAGUACUUUGCUCUUAUACUCUUAGAUGCUUUCUUUUAUUGUUUUAUUUACCGUUUUAUUUUUAGACGCCUUGUAUGUUUUAGACGUACGGCGGGUCUGGACACGCGCCGGGCGGGCUUCCGCUGGGUCCCGGGGCGUGACACUUAUCCCCCCCUAACUAAUACUAAUUUACAUAAAAAUCCCUCAACUUUUCAUCUCUCAACCUGCCUUUACUGGGCAGAAUUCGUGCGGAGGGACCGGUCUCCCCGACUUGGGACCGGUCCCCGAGGUCCUCCCUCGGGCGCACGCGUUCAGGAACCAGUCUCUCCUCGGGAGACCGGUCCUCGCCUGAGAGACCGGUCCCCGAGAGCUCGAUUUCAGGACUUAGCCAAAUUUCGGCAUUUCUCGCUGGGACCACGUUCGGGAACCGGUCCCUCCCUGCCAGGGACCGGUUGCACCAAGCAACCCCGCUACACCCAGCCGAUGGAACCGGUCUCUCACCUCCAGAGACCGGUCCCCGAGAGUAACAUCAGCCGAAUGAUGCAGUUUGCACCAUUUGCUCUCGUGGACUCAACUCCAAGGCACUCUUC